rnacentral:lncRNA from 1 species
CUCUCUGCACCCUGCAGCGCGGCCAGCAGGGAGCGCACCCGGGAACCCCCAAGAGUUCCCAUUUUCACUUCUUUGCAGGAUGGUAAUGGAUCAUGGACGUGCAAACAAAACAAACUUGGAGAGCUUCAGAAUAACACUUGGAAAGUAGGCUUGGGACUAGACGUGAAGCUGCCAUCUUGCAUACAUGAAAGCCAUCAUGAGGAAGGAUGUCAGUGGCUCACAAUGAAAGGACGAAGGGACCAGAGCAGCUCAAGGCGCUGGGGAUAUUCUGCUGCUGCUGUGCCAGCCUGGGAUGGCCCAUCUCUGCACAGCCGGCAUGUGAGGAAAGUUCAUUCACGUUUGGUUAAGCCACCAUAGCAGGGUUUCCAUAAAAGCAAUGAUCAUUUCAUCAUAUCUAACAAGAAUUAGAAACAUCAACGCUAUCAAGAAAUAUUUGAAAUAUGUCUUAUUUAAU